GCAUAUCAAUAAGCGGAGGAAAAGAAACCAACAGGGAUUGCCCCAGUAACGGCGAGUGAAGCGGCAACAGCUCAAAUUUGAAAUCUGGCUCUCGGGCCCGAGUUGUAAUUUGUAGAGGAUGCUUUUGGUGAGGUGCCUUCCGAGUUCCCUGGAACGGGACGCCAUAGAGGGUGAGAGCCCCGUCUGGUUGGACACCGAUCCUCUGUAAAGCUCCUUCGACGAGUCGAGUAGUUUGGGAAUGCUGCUCUAAAUGGGAGGUAUAUGUCUUCUAAAGCUAAAUACCGGCCAGAGACCGAUAGCGCACAAGUAGAGUGAUCGAAAGAUGAAAAGAACUUUGAAAAGAGAGUUAAACAGUACGUGAAAUUGUUGAAAGGGAAGCGCUUGUGACCAGACUUGGGCUUGGUUGAUCAUCCGGGGUUCUCCCCGGUGCACUCUUCCGGCUCAGGCCAGCAUCAGUUCGCCCUGGGGGACAAAGGCUUCGGGAAUGUGGCUCUCUCCGGGGAGUGUUAUAGCCCGUUGCGUAAUACCCUGUGGCGGACUGAGGUUCGCGCAUUCGCAAGGAUGCUGGCGUAAUGGUCAUCAGUGACCCGUCUUGAAACACGGACC
rnacentral:rRNA from 6 species